CUUUCCAUGAAGUAGAAGAUGGUUGUCUCGUUGCCAUCUCGUUAUUGCCUUUGGGUCAAUUGGAAACAAACUCUCUGUAAUUACAGGGGUAAGGUUGCGUAAACCCGACUCCCCUUUACCCCGCUUCUUGCGGGAGCCUUUUUGAGACAAUGAGGUAAUCCCAUUUCCCACCUCUCUUUUAUCUCUCCUCCUCUCUAGAAGCAUCUUCUACUUCCCAUAAAAAUCAUGAACAUCACUAUUCAUCUUCUUCCCCAUUUCUCCUCUGUAUUUUCCCCCAAUUAUUUUGGCAAUUUUCCAUAAAUCACUCCAUGAAAUCGUCCAAAAUUACAGAUCUAGGUUCCUCCAUAAAUUUUAUUCAAUUCCACAUAUUUCGUCAAAAGAUCUAGGUUUUUCUGCCACAAAUUCGUUAAAAGAACUGGGAAUUUCGUCCACAAAUUUGUUCAAAGAUCUGGGAUUUUCGUUCAAAGAUUUAUGAUUUUCGUCCUCUAAUUCGUUAAAAGAUAUGGGAUUUUCAUCCACAAAUUUGUCCAAUUUUUUCGAUCUCUUUAAUCUCUGAUUUGUUGUCGAGGUUCGUUCAUGGAUAAAUUUGUUCAAGAUCCAGUUCAGAAAACAGAGGAAGAAAUUUUUUAUUUUUCUAAUUCUGAAUAUUUCGGGGUAUGGGUUGACGAUUCCCUCGAGCCAUUUCCCGUUGUUCCUUAAACUCCAAUGGAUGAUGUAUACAAUCCAGAAACUCCAAUGGAUGAUUUAUAUGAUCCAAUGGUUGUUGUUCGUGAACCUCCAAUUCAAUCUCUAGUUGCUUACUAUUGAGAAGAACUUGAGGAUUGGGUUGCUCUCGGCACUCCCGAUCGUGAUAUAUCCAUCACUCUAGCUCUUUCUCGCAAGCGUAAAGGUAAUAGUGAUGGUAAGGAUAAGCUAGUAAGAGAGGUAAGGUAUCAAACGAUGAUGUUUUUGAGAUGUUGAAAGGUUAUGUACCUUCUAUUAAACGGUGAUACUUCUGAAAGUGAAUGAUUCUGGUUGUUGGUGUUCUUGAAUGUGAAUAAGUGUUGUUGUUGGUGGUUAGUAAAUGUAUCGAUCUGUUAUAUAAUUGUGGCUAUUGUGUACUUUGUUAUGUAAUUGUGGCUAUUAUUGUGGUUGUUCUGGACUUUUGGUUAUUCUGUACUCUGUUGUGGUUAUUCAGUACUACGUUGGUGCUAUUGUGGCCCUGUAAUUGGUAAGCAACCUAAAUUCUACUAUGUUCCUGUUUAAUAAAAUGUUAAUCGAUGCAAUUAAGUGUUUGGAUAUACGAUUACUAAUGAGAAACUAUGAAAAUGUUAGUUAAUAAUUGGUUAUUACAAUAUGUUAAGGAGUGUACAAAAAAGUUUACAAAAUAAUUUGAUGAACCUGUUAUGACUGCAAAAUGUUUACAAAAGUACUCCCUAACACUAGACAUUCCUUGCUCUCAAAAGCUAGUUUGUUGCAUUAGACUCCCUGUUGCGUUGCUUCAACAAAUGCUACACAUUCUCCUACUAGAGUAGGAGGUGGAGAGAAGAUGACAAGGAGUAUCCUUUGUCUCUCCAAAGCUUCUUUGCCAACAUCCCUUGACUCUCAUAACCUCUAUUAGUACAAAUGCAAACUAAGAAAGACUCUAUUUACUUUGAUUGGACAAAAUUCCCUAAAUGAAGCUUUGACAUUCUUAACCAACUCUUUAGUGUUUCUAGGAGAAGUCUGGUCUUUUAGGGAUUGUAUUUCUCAAAAAGAAUUAAGGUCUAGCACAUUCAUAUAUGGACUGUUAGUAGGUUGAAAUAUCAACCUUAAUUGUUUGUUUGAAAGUUGAACUUCUUCCAUCCAUUCUCUGUCAUUCACUUGUAUAUGAGGCCGUGCAUUGUCUUGUUGCAAAUAGAUUAGACCUUGAUGAUCUGUUGGCCACUUUUGCAUGAUUGCUGGAAUAUCUUGUCUAAUUAACAUGUUUCUGUAAGUUUCCUUUGUGACUGAAGUCACAGGUUUGAGCUCCAAAGUGUCUGUUGGCCUAUUUCUACUUCUCCUCUUUGCUGUUACCCACUUCACAAAUGGAAACAUGUUUGUUUUACCAUCGAAAUGCAUUCUCUAUUUUCAUUGAAUCGUGGUCUUGCAACAGCACAAAGAAACAUGACUUUUGUGAUGAAUCUCUUGCUCUUACAUGAUAUGUAAGGUCCGAGUUCACCUAGGAGAAGGUAAUACCUUUGUGUCCCUUUUUUCAUGUAAAAGAACUUCUCAUCUUAGUGGAUUAUGUUGUACAUAUCACUAAAAUCACCAUUGUUCUAAUCAAUUUCUCCAAGGCGCCACUUCACUCUUUCUUUUAGAUUUUCAUUGGUAAGUGACGGUUUCAUUGCAUUGUUAUGUGGCUUUAUUAGCCCCAUUUUUUCCACUUGUAAAUUGUGGUCUUUGAAAGCUCUAAUUCUUUUGCAAGUGACCUAACGUUUACUCGUUUGGGAUAUGAAAUUUGAGCAAUUAGAAGAAGUAUUCUUAAGUGAAGCUUACCUUUUUUUUUUUUUGCCGCAUUUUUUGGGUUUCUGUGAUUGAAUACUCACUGGUUGUUGAUUGUCAUAUUGUGCUUUACCCACCUUCCAGAUUCUUUGUAUUGUUGACCGGUUGACAUCAAAAAGAUAAACUGCUUCAGUGACAAUGCCCCUCUUCUUCUUCUUUCCACCGUUUCUCUGUUCAAGUAACCAGUUGGCAAUUCAGGUUUUUGCUGCAUCUGUGAGUUCUCUCUUGGCCCUUCUCAUUUUUUUUACUCAGUACACUAGUUGCAACCAAUUGAGAAUGGAAGAGGCAAUCUUCAGCGAAGUUCAGACUCUCUUUUCACUUGAGGAUGCAAUUUUUGUGCUAAGUUUAUGGUUAAUUAUACGAAUUGCAACCAAGUCGGACUUGUAGGGUUUAAGUUUAAACUCCCAUUUUACUUAGGACGGCAAGAGUGUAUGUUAACCACCUCAAUGAUGAAAUUUUUUUGAGAGGUUUUAGAAAAAUAGAUUUACACUAUCCAAACCCCCUCCCCACACUAAUUAAUUUCUUUUUGUUUUUCCCUUUUCAAACUAAAGUCAGUUUUAAACUACCCCCCACCCCCACACACCCACACACAAUUAAAUGAUGCUUGUUUUUCCUUGUUUUUCUAUUUUUUUCUACACUUAUUUUCAGGUUGACGAAGUGUUGGAGAAGUUGUAGAAAAGAGGAGCAAGCAUUUAUGAGGGAAGCAUAUUUAUAAUGGUCCAAAUUUAGGGUUUUACUUCUACUUAAAUUUAGGAGGAAAAGUGUGUAAAAAAAUCGUAAAUUUUACUCUUGCUCUUUGUUAGAAUUUUCCCCAAAAUUUUAGAGGAAAAAUGAAUAAAUUAUGUGAUUUUUGGAAAUUCCCCAAAUAUUUAUAGGGAAAAUGUAAUUACAGAACUUUUUUGGAA